ensembl:lncRNA
GUGACACAAACCAGGAGAAGUUACUGUGUUUGACGAUGCAUCUAUCAGCCUCCAUCACUCUGCUGCUCCUGGUUCUUCUGGGGGUCACUUCAGGAGUACCACCCCCCAUUGAAACUCCCGUCACGAUUGAAUGUGAAUGGUUUGUAUGGAGAUUUCUCUCAGCGCACCUACUGGCAGCUGCUGGUGGAGAAACUGGACGGGACUGUCAUAAUACCUGAUGCUGAUAUCAGGUGCUACAUUCCAAUUGCAAAUGAUAAGAUCAUCUUUGAAUAUUCCAGCGCAUGAAGAGUCAAAUGAAACUGUUGACACAUAAUGGACUGUGCUUCACUUUACAAAAACUUCAACUCAAGAUGAUUAUUUUAACACUUUGCUGGAGAGAGACUGAUGUCAUUUUACCUGUUGUUACACUUUAAAUAAAUCAUUCAUUCAUUGUGGAGAAUAAAUGAUUUUAAAAGCCUCUCCCAGCUCAUAAACACCUGUUGUUCUUUUUGUUCUUCUGGACAAAGAGAACACCAUGAUCUUUUAGAUUUAAUGAUGUGAUGUAAUUAUGGUCAUGGCACAAUGUAUUUUUGGCCUGUGGUUGAAUAAAGGGUGUUUCCUAAUUACACUGAAGUACAAAAUGUCCUCAUUGCGUGUAAUAAAACAAUACAUGACAAAUACUUCCUGGUACUUUCUGGGACUUUAAAAAGGAGUGACACAAACCAGGAGAAGUUACUGUGUUUGACGAUGGCGAUGCAUCUAACAGCCUCCAUCACUCUGCUGCUCCUGGUUCUUCUGGGGGUCACUUCUGGAGCACCACCCUCCAAUGAAACUCCCGUCACGAUUGAGGUGGGAAACUCUUUGGUCCCAGGUGAAGCCAGAAAAAUCUACCGCACUUCUGUGCCCUACAGAGGAAUUCUGCUGGGAGCAAUGAGACGACUCCAGGAAACCACCAACUUCAAGUUUACCUACACUGAGGACAAAAAUUACGGCCCCUUUCUGACCAGUGUGAAUGGUUUGUAUGGAGAUUUCUCUCAGCGCACCUACUGGCAGCUGCUGGUGGAGAAACCGGACGGGACCACCAUAAGAGCUGAUGUUGGUAUCGGGUGCCUCAUUCCAACUGAAAAUGAUAAGAUCCUCUUAAUUUUUUCCACCUACUGAAGACGACUUGACUCUGAGCUGAUUAAUAAACAUAUAACCACGUACCUGCUGAUCAGGAAAUAUGUGUAACUCGUUGUAUUCUGUUAUCACUGGGUUAUUUAGUUUAGUCACACCUGUUUGUUUAGUUUGUGGUAAAUGUUGAUUUAAGUCACUAUUUUCCUCUGUUCUUGUUGCAACAUGUGAAAAACAAUAAAGAAACAAACUCAGAGUCUGAGUCACUAAAAUGUUGACACAGUAUUUUAUUUAUGCAAUGGCACUUGACAAGGAAGAGAAAGAUAUUUUCUCCUGUUUAUCACAAUCAUUUGGGAUUGGUUUGUUUUGACAUGGAGGAUAAAAGUGUAAAAAUAAUC